CCAGGUUAUGGACUACCUAGGAAUGACUAGGAUUCCCAAGAAGCACAUCGUGAAACGGUGAACGAAGGAUGUGCGGGACAUACUACCAGAACACCUGCAGCACUAUCAGCGUGAUAAGAUUAGUACAACAACUUUGACAUUCAGACAUAACAGAAUGUACGUGCAGGCGCUGGAGUUGGUCAGGCUAGGGGAUGCUAGUGUGGAAGCUUAUGACACGUUAAUGGCUCUAUUCAACCAAGCGCUUGUGGUGAUGAAUGUUAGCACUAAUCUUGUCAUGAUGUACCAGCAUGCAUGUUUAGUUUUGAGUUUGCAUGUAGUUUAGAUGAUCUAGGGCAGUGUAUGUAGGCCAAUGAUACUUCAGCUAGGCGCGUGAAGAAAGCGAGAUGCCGGGCUGCCGUGCGAUGCGGUGAGCAUGGCAAGAUGCCGAUGAUGUCGUGCGAUACGGCGAGGCUGUGAGAAGCAGCGAGACGCGACGAAGCUGGAGGAUGAUGGGCUGCUCGUUCAGGUUGAGCCGAGUGAUUUGGCCAAGCCGUAGUUAGUUAGAGUGUGCUGGUUGGUUGUAGCUAGCUAGCUUCGUGCAUGAAGUAGUAGGCCACGUUGAGACGUGGAAUUGGUUUUAGAUAUGGCCGAGUCUUGUCGCUGCUGGAGUGAUUCUAGCUUGGAGUAGGAUAAGGCAGUUAGCAUGUGCAUGUAGAUAGGACUAGUUAGUGCAUGCAGGACGUGCUGUUAGUGGCCGAUUAUGAUGGCCGGUUAGUGCGUGCGUGAUGGCCGGACGUGAUGGCUGGCUGUGUGCCCUCCUGUGUAUAUAUAUUUCACAUUGAGCAAUGAAGAAGAGGCCGUGAGGGCUGGCAGAAAUAAUGUAGUGCAUGUGUGUCUCACCGGGAGUGAAAAGCAAAGCUGUGUUCUCCACGGUGAGGUGUGCGCUUGUGUUUUCUGAGUUUCACCAUGUGUGUGUGUUCUUGUGUGAGACAAAGAGAGUUGAGCUGUGAGAGGCAGCAAGAGGUAGAAGAAGAAGGGGCGCUGCGAGAGGGCAGCGCCAACAAUUGGCAUCAGAGCCUUGUUGAUCCGUGGCGGCGACGACGGUGCCGGCGGCUAUGGUGGCCGGCGUGGCGCUGGGUGCGAGGUGAUGGCUGGCAGCGGCGCGAUGCCGCGGGCGGCCGGUUGCGGUGCGAUGCCGCGAGAUGAAGGUGGUGCGAUGAUCGGCGUCGCGAGGACGUCAUCCACGACAAGAUGGUCCGUGGUGACCGGCGCUGCGACGGCGUCGGUUGUGGCGCGACGGACUUCAUGCGAGAUGGAGGCCGACGGCGCAAGAAGGAGGAUGGUGGCCAUGCGGUGCCGCUAUGUGAAGAUGGCGGUGCGAAGCUGCCACAAGAAGAGUCGGCGUGAUGCCGAUGACGGUGGUGUGAUGCCAUCGUCAUCAUGGAAAGUUGGUGUGAAGCCAACAAAAGUUGCGGUGCGAUGCCGCUUGGCGAAGACGGCGUGGUGAUCGGCGCUGCGACAGCGUCGUCCACAUCGAGAGGAGGCCGCCACGAGCGGCAAGUCGGCAUGGUGGUUGGCGCUGCGACGGCGUCGUGCACGGCAAGGUGUUGCGGGCGAUCCGCGAGAGGAACUGGCGGUUUAGCAUGACAAGAUUAGGGAGGUGAUUGUUAGCACUAAUCUUGUCAUGAUGUACCAGCAUGCAUGUUUAGUUUUGAGUUUGCAUGUAGUUUAGAUGAUCUAGGGCAGUGUAUGUAGGCCAAUGAUACUUCAGCUAGGCGCGUGAAGAAAGCGAGAUGCCGGGCUGCCGUGCGAUGCGGUGAGCAUGGCAAGAUGCCGAUGAUGUCGUGCGAUACGGCGAGGCUGUGAGAAGCAGCGAGACGCGACGAAGCUGGAGGAUGAUGGGCUGCUCGUUCAGGUUGAGCCGAGUGAUUUGGCCAAGCCGUAGUUAGUUAGAGUGUGCUGGUUGGUUGUAGCUAGCUAGCUUCGUGCAUGAAGUAGUAGGCCACGUUGAGACGUGGAAUUGGUUUUAGAUAUGGCCGAGUCUUGUCGCUGCUGGAGUGAUUCUAGCUUGGAGUAGGAUAAGGCAGUUAGCAUGUGCAUGUAGAUAGGACUAGUUAGUGCAUGCAGGACGUGCUGUUAGUGGCCGAUUAUGAUGGCCGGUUAGUGCGUGCGUGAUGGCCGGACGUGAUGGCUGGCUGUGUGCCCUCCUGUGUAUAUAUAUUUCACAUUGAGCAAUGAAGAAGAGACCGUGAGGGCUGGCAGAAAUAAUGUAGUGCAUGUGUGUCUCACCGGGAGUGAAAAGCAAAGCUGUGUUCUCCACGGUGAGGUGUGCGCUUGUGUUUUCUGAGUUUCACCAUGUGUGUGUGUUCUUGUGUGAGACAAAGAGAGUUGAGCUGUGAGAGGCAGCAAGAGGUAGAAGAAGAAGGGGCGCUGCGAGAGGGCAGCGCCAACAAUGAAACCGUUUGACAAUGCAAGGGACGGCAUGGGUCUGGAAGAUCGUGUUCAGAGCAAGGCGCUAUAAAUUCAAGGCCUAGCUGAUGAUGCAGCUACCGCAGAACAGGAAGAUAGGUGCUCCGGUCAGAGCAAUCCGCUGGCUGGGUUGGCUCCUCCAACAAAGAAGAUAAAAUCCGGCAGGCCAACAAAUGCGAGAGAGAAGGCGUCGUACGAGGGGAUGACAAAAAGGAGUAGGUUCUGCAGCAUCUGCAAGACUAAAGGGCACAAGUGAACGACUUGCCCAGAACGUGGCGAUGCCCCAAAGAUGCCCGGGAAAAUGGCAAAAUGCAGCAAAUGCGGUGUCGCAGGGCACAGGAAGAAUACGUGCGACAGAGUUGCUGGCAAAGGAAUUACUGAAGGUGUGGAUUAGCAAUCUUAGAAGGGUUCAUCCUGCAAAAUCAGAGUCAGGAUACCUCCCCCAUGGAUGAUAAUGCACGUUGUCCCCUGUCAGGCCAUAUUAUGGCAUCAGUGAAAAUUUUCUAUCAAAGCAUUGUGUUGUUCCAAAGAAAAAACUUUCCUUUGCGUUCGUAUGAUGGAUGCUGGAAAGCACUGUGAGGUCGUGUGAGGCACUUUUUUCCAAAUGAAUUUGUGAUGUAAAACCUGAUGUAAUUUGCUUGCAAUGCAGUCUGUGUACUCCAUUUGCCAUCUUCGGUUAUUGCUGUUCGCCAAACAUAAAAAAUGAGAAGUUUGAG
rnacentral:lncRNA from 1 species